CCCAUUGACGCAAACACAGACCAGUCUGAGUGUAUUUAAGCCGACUUUCCUCGACCACAAAGAGAGAGACUGACACUGACCGAGAAGACAUCUACAAACACUAGAGCCCACAUAAGAGCCUGAUUUUUUGGAAACGCAGACGGUGUACGAGAUGAGCUCGGGAAAUAGCUGCGACAGUCUCAGUGACUCACCCAUAAGCCCAAAAAGAGUAGGACCAACAACACCCAGAAGAGGACCCCCUAAAUUCAAACAGAGAAUGACAAGACAAUUCAAAAGUAAACCUCCCAAGAAGGGAGUCAAAGGAUUUGGAGAUGAGAUCCCAGGAAUGGAGGGUCUUGGCACUGACAUCACUGUGGUGUGUCCAUGGGAAGCGUUUAGCCAUCUGGAGUUGCACGAGCUCGCCCAGUAUGGUAUUAUUUGAGACGGACUACAGGAAGAUGUGUCACCUGGACUUGUUUAGUUGACUAGACUCCACCUCUAGAUCCCAAAUGAGGGAUGCUGCAAACGGACACUUGCUCCAUUGCCUUUAUUAUACUCUGUUGCAAACAGCUGAGUUGUACAGACACCAACUCACCAGCCUAUGAAUGCACUUAAUACAUUUAAUAUAGUGGCUAUUCAGAUGCAGGAGGAAUUAGGUUUAUGACGUUUUAUAGGAUGAUAUAAAGGUGAAAGGCCUUUUGGUAGAAGAAAUAAUGUGGAAUUUGAUUUCAAUCAAAGUUUAUUUUCUACUGCACUAGCCCAAAUUCCAUACAGUGGUACACUCUGUGGCACCACCUGCCAAGUUAUUGUUUUUAUUUGUGCUAGUUCUAUAUUUUGGCCUUUUUUUCUUUCUUUUUUUUUUAGUAGAUGCAAUCUGAGAGGAGAAGCCUUAUUAGCUGUUCACAUCACUUCUUCUGUCGUGUGGUGUUGAUGCCUUAGACUUCUAAUGUAGCAAAUUUAGUUCUCAUGUUUGGCUUAAUUAAAAAAAAACUGAAUCUGUAUUGUUAAAAUAAAGAUUUGGUGUAGACUAUCUGACUGAAGUACUAUUUGAAGCAUGAACAAGAAAUGUGGAAAUUAAGCAUGGAAAUUCAUUGCUGCAAAAAAUCGUAUGACUCCUAUUGACCUUGUUAAUGAAUAGCAGUUCACAAGAACUCCUCUGCCGUCAAAUUGCUUUCUUCAAAUUCAUUUAUAGUCUCUUUUCUCAUUUUUCUAAAUGACUUCUUCAUAAGGAUUAACAGUGUAAAACAUAAUCAGUACUAAAUUACAUUUGAUAUGCAUUACAACUCAAAGACUGACGAGCUCGUUAUCAAUUUUAACAAAAGGAAGUCAACACAAAAGGUUAGAAUCAUAAAAGUGUUUUUUUUUUUUUUUUUUACAUAUAGGCAUAGGCUAUGUUUAUGUUUAACGGCGUUUUCAAACGUUUUAGUAGGCUAACCACGAAUGCUAGAUAAUUUGCGCUAAAUUUAUGAGGUAACCAUAGCACUAUGACCGUUUGUAUAUCAAAAGAAGCCUAGGCCUAUAUAUAGUGUAAUAAUGUAACACGUUCUUGUAGAUUUACAUACGCCUACCACAGAUCUAUCAAUACAAAUCGUCAGUGAGUUGUUUAAAAACAUUUACAAAGUUAUGAAAAAAAAUCCAGUAAUGUUUAUUAAUAAUGUCCUCAAAACGUUAGCACAAAAAUAUUAUUUAGGAAUAAUAUUAUUAUCUUCAUGGAACGUUUUUUUUUUUUUUUCCG